rnacentral:rRNA from 1 species
AUUGAACGCUGGCGGCAGGCCUAACACAUGCAAGUCGAACGAGUGGCGGACGGGUGAGUAAUGUCUGGGAAACUGCCCGAUGGAGGGGGAUAACUACUGGAAACAGUAGCUAAUACCGCAUACUAUCGGAUGUGCCCAGAUGGGAUUAGCUAGUAGGUGGGGUAAAGGCUCACCUAGGCGACGAUCCCUCGCUGGUCUGAGAGGAUGACCAGCCACACUGGAACUGAGAAACGGUCCAGACUCCUACGGGAGGCAGCAGUGGGGAAUAUUGCACAAGGGGCGCAAGCCUGAUGCAGCCAUGCCGCGUGUAUGAAGAAGGCCUUCGGGUUGUAAAGUACUGUCAGCGAGGAGGCGUUACUCGCAGAAGAAGCACCGGCUAACUCCGUGCCAGCAGCCGCGGUAAUAC